GCACCGCAGGCGGAAGGGGAGCAAGCGCUGAAGCAUGGGGCAGGGAAAGCCCAAGCCAGCAGCUGCUGCUGCGAUGCCAAGCAAAGGUGGGCAGAGGGUACACGACCACCACGGAAGCACAAACCCACUAACCGUGCAGCACUGGGCCCCCCCAGAUCCCUGUCCACCCCAGCCCUCGGCAGUAGCAGGGACAGGGUCCGCUCCAGCCCUCCGGCGUGGCACAGCUCGGCAGCCAGCAGGGCUGUUUCGCGGCCGGGGGCAUCGCUCUCUGUCCUGCCUGGGGCUCAGGCGACAGGCAGGGCCUGCUGGGCCUUCACCUGGCGAGAGAGCAGGCGUGGUGGUGAGGGGGGAGCGCUGCCAUGGCAGGCCUGCACCAGGGUGCUGCUGUGCUCUGGGGACAGCCAAGGAAAACGGGUCCCUGUGUCCCGCACACACGCUGCACCCAGUUGGCCCCUCAGCACCUCCCCGUCAGCCACCACUCUGGCAGCAGAGGAUGGGGUGUCUGCCAUUUGUGCCCAUCCCCAGGGCAUCAGGGCUCACCCAGGGCAGGGGCACCCACCCCUAUCCCGCACUGGCUGCCAGGACAAACUCACCUCCAGGUUCGUCCUGGCCUUGCGCAGCACGUUGUGGGUCCUGGUCACUGUGAGGGGGGGAGAGAGAGAGAGAGAUGGGCUCAGUGAGGUCCCUGCGCCAUGGAGCCACCCCAGUCACAGGGGGACCGGGCCAGCUUGGCCAUGCCACCCCGCAGCAGGACACCACCCAGGCCACGUACGCUGGCUCACGAUGAACUGCUCCAUGCUGUCCUUGAGCUGGGUUGUGCUGCGCAGCCGCUCGGCUGUGCUCUGCAGAGCAUCCUCCCUCUCGGAGAGCUGGGCCCGCAGCGCUGCAAUCUCACCCUGUAGCACCUGCUCCUGGGAUGAGACAAGCCUGAUGAGCAGCGAGCAUCCAAAGCCCCACUGCCCCGCUAGCCCCCAGCCCUGUGCUUACCUUGCCCUGGUGCUGGGCAGGACUGACAGGCAGCACGGCGCUCCAGAAGGCGGUAAGGAGAGACGCGCACUCCUCCAGGACACGGUGCAGGGUGCUGGCGCUGCCCCAGAGGUGCCCUGCGCCCGUCCACCCCAGGGCCUGCGGGAGAAGGGUGCGGGAGCGGGUGCUGCCGGGGCAGCUGCAUCCCGCUGCACCCAGGGACUCGCCGUGUCCAGCCCGACACAGCAGGGCAGUGCCGGCAUCAGCCCCCAGGGCAGAAGGCUACCUGCCGCUUGCCAGCCCUGCAAGCCUCUGGGCCGAUAUUGGGUGCAGGAGCUGCUUUAUGCAUGGUCUGCAGAGGGUCUGGCCCCCAGCAGCUGCCAGCCCCAUCCUGCCCACACUUUACCUCCUUUCCUGGGAGCGGGCAGUUGGGCAGCCCAAGUGCCGGGCGCGUGA
rnacentral:lncRNA from 1 species